rnacentral:rRNA from 1 species
UGGGGAAUUUUGGACAAUGGGCGAAAGCCUGAUCCAGCAAUGCCGCGUGUGUGAAGAAGGCCUUCGGGUUGUAAAGCACUUUUGUCCGGAAAGAAAUCCUUGGCUCUAAUACAGUCGGGGGAUGACGGUACCGGAAGAAUAAGCACCAGCUAACUACGUGCCAGCAGCCGCGGUAAUACGUAGGGUGCAAGCGUUAAUCGGAAUUACUGGGCGUAAAGCGUGCGCAGGCGGUUUGCUAAGACCGAUGUGAAAUCCCCGGGCUCAACCUGGGAACUGCAUUGGUGACUGGCAGGCUAGAGUAUGGCAGAGGGGGGUAGAAUUCCACGUGUAGCAGUGAAAUGCGUAGAGAUGUGGAGGAAUACCGAUGGCGAAGGCAGCCCCCUGGGCCAAUACUGACGCUCAUGCACGAAAGCGUGGGGAGCAAACAGGAUUAGAUACCCUGGUAGUCCACGCCCUAAACGAUGUCAACUAGUUGUUGGGGGAUUCAUUUCCUUAGUAACGUAGCUAACGCGUGAAGUUGACCGCCUGGGGAGUACGGUCGCAAGAUUAAAACUCAAAGGAAUUGACGGGGGUCAUAGCUGUUUCCUG